CACUGCUUGCGUUGUGUACGCAUCGCGUUGCGUAUGUGUCACCUUGCAUGAAGUAUAUCGCGGCCCUAACAGAGUUUAUGGCAUGUAGCAGUGCAUAGUUUGUCCGAAUAUCCUAGUGAGCGCAGGCAACAAUGGUGACACGGUAUGUAAACGGCGCACCUCACUGAGAACACCUUAACAGCGCCAGCAAAGUUUGUGGAGGUCAUUUUGUCAAUGAUAGGAGACCUGGAGGCAAUUAAGCACAACACUGUCAACAUCACCCCCAAGGCACCACCGCGCCAACAAAUGAGGGCCCUGCAAGACCCCUACCCCGUCAGCGAGCAGCAAUCGGAAUGACGUGGAGGAUGCGGAUGACCAUGUGGACAAUGGAUCGGGAGAGACGGAGGACACGAAGGGUUUGGGUGGGGACUGCAGGCUCCCAGCUUUAUGAAGGACGGCUGCAGACGCAGUACGAAACUUGGUCAAGCCACCGACCAUGCACUGAACCUCAGCUAGAUGGCUCCACGAGUUUGUCAUACUGAGGUGAAGACAGCUGUGCGGGGGGCUGCGACACUGACCUGCCUGGUACAGCCUGUAAAAGCCGCAUCUCUUUGUCACCUCAUCUUCAGUGGCAGAAACUGGGCUAAAAACUUACAACUUUCUUAUUCUGGAGCAGAUCCCUCACCAGUCACACUUUCACACCUAAAUAUUGCCCUCCUAAGGUCAUCAGACAUUCUUCCCUCUCCCAUGGACGACAGCUUGUGUGUCUGUGUCCCGUAAC